rnacentral:rRNA from 1 species
UACGUAGGGGGCGAGCGUUGUCCGGAUUUAUUGGGCGUAAAGAGCGUGUAGGCGGCCAGGUAGGUCUGCUGUGAAAACUCGAGGCUCAACCUCGAGACGUCGGCGGAAACCAUCUGGCUAGAGUCCGGAAGAGGAGAGUGGAAUUCCCGGUGUAGCGGUGAAAUGCGCAGAUAUCGGGAAGAACACCCGUGGCGAAGGCGGCUCUCUGGGACGGUACUGACGCUGAGACGCGAAAGCGUGGGGAGCAAACAGG